rnacentral:rRNA from 1 species
GAUGAACGCUGGCGGCGUGCCUAAUACAUGCAAGUCGAGCGAACGGACGAGAAGCUUGCUUCUCUGAUGUUAUCGGCGGACGGGUGAGUAACACGUGGAUAACCUACCUAUAAGACUGGGAUAACUUCGGGAAACCGGAGCUAAUACCGGAUAAUAUUUUGAACCGCAUGGUUCAAAAGUGAAAGACGGUCUUGCUGUCACUUAUAGAUGGAUCCGCGCUGCAUUAGCUAGUUGGUAAGGUAACGGCUUACCAAGGCAACGAUGCAUAGCCGACCUGAGAGGGUGAUCGGCCACACUGGAACUGAAACACGGUCCAGACUCCUACGGGAGGCAGCAGUAGGGAAUCUUCCGCAAUGGGCGAAAGCCUGACGGAGCAACGCCGCGUGAGUGAUGAAGGUCUUCGGAUCGUAAAACUCUGUUAUUAGGGAAGAACAUAUGUGUAAGUAACUGUGCACAUCUUGACGGUACCUAAUCAGAAAGCCACGGCUAACUACGUG